GAGUUUGAUCCUGGCUCAGAACGAACGCUGGCGGCGUGCUUAACACAUGCAAGUCGAACGUGAUCCAGAGCUUGCUCUGGAGAAAGUGGCGCACGGGUGAGUAACGCGUGGAUAACCUGCCCUGGUAUCUGGGAUAACAUCUCGAAAGGGGUGCUAAUACCGGAUAAGCCUACGGGCUCUUCGGAGUCUGCAGGAAAAGGAGGCCUCUAUUUAUAAGCUUCCGUAUCAUGAUGGGUCCGCGUACCAUUAGCUAGUUGGUGGGGUAAUGGCCCACCAAGGCUACGAUGGGUAGCUGGUCUGAGAGGAUGAUCAGCCACACUGGAACUGAGACACGGUCCAGACUCCUACGGGAGGCAGCAGUGGGGAAUUUUGCGCAAUGGGGGAAACCCUGACGCAGCAACGCCGCGUGAGUGAUGAAGGCCUUCGGGUCGUAAAGCUCUGUCAGAGGGGAAGAACCGCCGGGUGGCUAAUACCUGCCUGGUCUGACGGUACCCUCAAAGGAAGCACCGGCUAACUCCGUGCCAGCAGCCGCGGUAAUAC
rnacentral:rRNA from 1 species